UAAAGUCGUCAUCGGGUGCGUCCAACAA
rnacentral:sRNA from 1 species